rnacentral:lncRNA from 1 species
UCCAGUCCGGAUUCUUGAACCUCAGUCCGUCCAUUUGAGUAGUCUGAAUCUCAGCCUGCAACAUUUGGUAUCAGAGCUUAAGGCUCCUGAAAAAUCGGUUAUAUCUUGUCCUUAAGACAACUUGCUUGCCGGUUUUGUGUUAAUCAUUCAUUUGCAUUACAAAAAAAAAAAAAAAUAUAUAUAUAUAUAUAUAUAUAUAUAAAAGUUGUUCUUGCUGUUCUUGCUGUUCUUGAUUGUUC